rnacentral:rRNA from 1 species
CAAUAGCGUAUAUUAAAGUUGUUGCAGUUAAAAAGCUCGUAGUUGAAUUUCUGUCAGGAGUGACCGGGCCUUUGGAUGAACUUCCAUUGUUUUUGCUCUGUUUGUCGUCUCUAGACAUCCUGAAAUAUUUUUUUGAAAUAUUCCUCUUUUACUGUUAGCAAAAUAGAGUGUUCCAAGCAAAGCGUAGUUUUGAAUACAUUAGAAUGGAAUAAUAAGAUAGGACUUUGGUGCUAUUUUGUUGGUUUGCACACCAAGGUAAUGAUUAAUAGGGACAGUUGGGGGUAUUCGUAUUUAAUUGUCAGAGGUGAAAUUCUUGGAUUUAUGAAAGACGAACUACUGCGAAAGCAUUUACCAAGGAUGUUUNCAUUA